GUCAAAUUUUACUUACAGCUUCUUAUACUAUGUUAAUUCUCAUACAGGUGAGAAAUUUUGUGAACCUAAUCAAUGUAGAAAAGUCCUCAGUGACAAAUUUGGAUGAAGAAUGUGUCCAUUCUUCAUCCAAAAUUUCUCACUGGGAGGAUAGCCUAUGUAGGCAAUGAAUGUGAAAAAGUCUUCCCUCAGAAGUCACACAUCUUCACACAUCAGACUUUUCAUUCUGGGGAAAAGCCCAACGAAUGCAGAGAAAAUGAGAACGCUUUCACCCAGUAGUCAAUAUUCAGUUUGCAACAGAGAAUUCACACCGAAGAGAAACCCUAUAUAUGCACUGAAUGUGGGCAGGCCUUCAUCCAAAAGACACACUUGAUUGCACAUCAGAGAAUAUAUAGUGGAGAGAAGCCUUUUGAAUGCUGUUACUGUGGGAAAGCCUUUCAUUCCAAAUCCCAAGUGAAUGAGCAUGGGAAAACCCACACAGGAGAAAAACCCUAUACAGGCACAAAAUGUGUGAAGGUCUUCUCCAAAAGAUCCAAUCUCCUUGCACACCAGAAGACUCAUACUGUAGAGAGCUUAUGUCUGUACUGAAUGUGGAAAGGCCUUUACUUACAAAUUGGUCUUGAUUACACAUCAAAGAUGAGAAACUUUAUGAAUGCGGCAACUGUGGGAAAACCUUUACUCAGAAGUCUCACCUCAACAUACAUCUGAAUUUUCACACUGGAGAGAAACCCAGUGUAUGUACCUGAACAUGAAAAAGCCUUCAACCAUAAGUCAAACUUAAUCACACAUUAAAAAGUUCAUGUUAGGGAAAAACUCAAUGAAUGCAGUGAUUGUGGGAAUUCUUUCAAGUCACAGCUCCAUGAGAAUCAACAAAGUCAUGCAGGAGAGAGACCCUAUGCAUGCACUAAAUGUGGGAAGGCCUUCAAAAAACCACAUCUCCUUGCACGUCAGAAAACUCAUAUUGGAGCAAAAUAUGUAUGUCCUGAGUGUGAGAAGGCCUUCACAUGCAAGUCAGUUUUGAUUACAUAUCAAAGAGAAUUUACACUGGAGAGAAGCCUUAUGAGUAGAGUGACUGUGGGAAAGCCUUCACACACACACACACACACACACACACACACACACACCACUAGCUUCAGCAGCAGCAGCAAAUUCACACAGGAGAAAAGCCCUAUGUAUAUACCGAGUGUGACAAGGCCUUCACCAACAAGUCAAGUUUGAAUAAGCACCAGAUUACUCUUUCUCCAGCUAAACCUUAUAAAUGCAGUGACUGUGGGAAAGGCUGCACCCAGAGAUUAGCUUUCAAUAUGCAUCCAAGUAUUCCUACCUAAAAGAAAAUCUGCAUGUUUCUUGAAUAUGAGAAAGCCUUCUCAGAGAAGUUGGAUCUAAGUGUAUGCUGUAGAAUGCCUGCAGCAGAAAAACCAUGUGAAUAUAUUCAU
rnacentral:lncRNA from 1 species